CCAAACGAAAUAAAUUUGGCAAGGAAUGCAUUGUUACAGGUUGCCGAACGUUUCAGGCAACAAACAACUAGUCAGUUGUUUUAUUAUUAAAUUGAUUUUUGAUUUUGAAAUUAGUGCUUAUAAGUCCCAGUUUUUUAUUCUAAACCGUCAACACAUUACACAUGUAAAGCGUUGAAACAAACAAGUAUUGUAUCAACUGUUUGAUUUUUUAUAAAUUCAAUGGAUGCUGGUAAUGUAAUGACAGUAAAGCCUGGUCCUCGAUUGUCACAUACUUACUAAAGCAUUAUCUCAAAGAAAAUCGUGUUCAGUAUCUUUUAUUGUUCUCUCUUGGAGAGUUAGACUUUAAGAGUAUGUGCUGUAUGAAUCGGCUUAUUAUUUUAUGCUUCCAUUUGAUUGAAUUGUUAUGUAUCAGAAACAUUUUUAGGUGUAGUUAAUGGAAUAACAAUUGAGAGCCACUCUAACCAAGAGCAGUCAACUUCAGCAAGUUUUGUUGCUGCCAGUUCAAAUAGUUUUAACCAAAGUUGUCAUCAGGAAGCACUCAGAUAAGUGAACACAGUCGGUUUUUGGAUAAAAGGAUAAGCAACCCAAGAAAAGAAACACUGUGAUUAAACAUAAACUUCAUUCUUGCUCUCUUAAAUUUGUUUGCUUAUAAAGUAGCAGUGCAUUUAAGCCACCAAGAACUGUGAAAGAAAUGACAAAGUUGUCUUGAUGAUGUGGAUGGCAGUAGCUCUCAUUGUCAUGAAAAAAUAUUUGAAGCAUAUCCAAAGCUUGCUUCUUGUGGAAAUGAAUUGCUGCUAUUUGAUUGUUCUGCUGAAAGUCAAUUAUUUUGUUACUUGAAACCCUCAUAUAUUCUACAGAAAUUUAAAACAAGUUACUGGGCAAUGUAAAAUAUAUGCAUCUGAUAGAGAAUAAUGAAGCAUCUGAUAGAGAAUAAUGAAGAGGAUGAAACAAAGUAUUACAAGAAAUGUACUGAAGAAAAUAAAAGAAGACAAAGCAAGAUGUGUGUGGCUUUUCCAAAUUGGCCAUCCCAACCGUGGUACCCAAAAGCUCUAGGAAUAAUGGAAAAGCCUCCGAUACACCUAAAAGAAUUGACACUAUAAAAACUUCCUAGUUAUCCGGAGGAGAUUCAUCCACUUUACAAGGAACUAUCACAGAUGGUCCGGGAAAAUCAAGCAUACCAAAAUCUGUCAAAUGCAGCGAAAGAAAUUCCCAUUGCAUCAUGGCGUAAAAGGGAUGGGUUACGGUGCUAUUAACACUGCUCGGUCUGUCUUAUCUUCGGUGAUCAUUCCAAACGCUGGAAUCUCAUUCGGUAAAGAUCUUUGGUUUGCAGACUUC